AUUGAACGCUGGCGGCAGGCCUAACACAUGCAAGUCGAGCGGAUGAAGGGAGCUUGCUCCUGGAUUCAGCGGCGGACGGGUGAGUAAUGCCUAGGAAUCUGCCUGGUAGUGGGGGAUAACGUCCGGAAACGGGCGCUAAUACCGCAUACGUCCUGAGGGAGAAGGUGGGGGAUCUUCGGACCUCACGCUAUCAGAUGAGCCUAGGUCGGAUUAGCUAGUUGGUGGGGUAAAGGCCUACCAAGGCGACGAUCCGUAACUGGUCUGAGAGGAUGAUCAGUCACACUGGAACUGAGACACGGUCCAGACUCCUACGGGAGGCAGCAGUGGGGAAUAUUGGACAAUGGGCGAAAGCCUGAUCCAGCCAUACCGCGUGUGUGAAGAAGGUCUUCGGAUUGUAAAGCACUUUAAGUUGGGAGGAAGGGCAGUAAGUUAAUACCUUGCUGUUUUGACGUUACCAACAGAAUAAGCACCGGCUAACUUCGUG
rnacentral:rRNA from 1 species